AUUGAACGCUGGCGGCAGGCCUAACACAUGCAAGUCGAGCGAGUGGCGGACGGGUGAGUAAUGCUUGGGAAUCUAGCUUAUGGAGGGGGAUAACUACGGGAAACUGUAGCUAAUACCGCGUACCAUAGGAUGAGCCCAAGUGGGAUUAGGUAGUUGGUGGGGGAAAGGCUAACCAAGCCGACGAUCCUUAGCUGGUCUGAGAGGAUGACCAGCCACACUGGGACGGAGACACGGCCCAGACUCCUACGGGAGGCAGCAGUGGGGAAUAUUGCGCAAUGGGGGCAACCUGACGCAGCCAUGCCGCGUGAAUGAAGAAGGCCUUCGGGUUGUAAAGUUCUUUCAGUAGCGAGGCGUUAACUACAGAAGAAGCACCGGCUAACUCCGUGCCAGCAGCCGCGGUAAUUC
rnacentral:rRNA from 1 species